GAUGAACGCUAGCGGGAGGCUUAAUACAUGCAAGUCGAGGGACCAUUUCGGUGGGACCGGCGCACGGGUGAGUAACGCGUACACUACCUACCUUACACAGGAGAAUAGCCUUUGGAAACGAAGAUUAAUGCUCCAUGGUACCGUUUACGGUUAAAGCUCCGGCGGUGUAAGAUGGGUGUGCGUGCCAUUAGCUAGUUGGUAAGGUAACGGCUUACCAAGGCUACGAUGGCUAAGGGGCGUGAGAGCGUGAACCCUCACACGGGUACUGAGACACGGACCCGACUCCUACGGGAGGCAGCAGUAAGGAAUAUUGGUCAAUGGACGCAAGUCUGAACCAGCCAUCCCGCGUGCAGGAUGACGGCCCUACGGGUUGUAAACUGCUUUUAUAAGAGAAGAAACCUGUUCAUUUAUGAGCAGCUGACGGUAUCUUACGAAUAAGCACCGGCUAACUCCG
rnacentral:rRNA from 1 species